AACUAUGCCUAUAAUAGCAAUAAAGUGAUUUAUAUAUUUCCCCUGUAACUAUAUCUAUAUCUAUAUAUCCUUUAAUAAUCCAAUAUACCCUAAAAUUUGCAAACAAUUUAUACGCAUUCUCAAGGUAUGUACAAAGAAAUAAGGUAACAAUUAUUUUUUGUUCCCAGAUUUGUAACGAUUUUGAGGAUACUAUAAAAGAAAGGAUGGUUAAUCAUCAUUUGCAUUAUUGUCACUGAAGACUGUAAUACUACAAAGAAACCUGGAACAAAUUGUAUAAUAAUCGUAAUAAUUUCAAUUGAACAAACGCUAUUUCCAAUUUUUCCUUUUACUCUUCCUAUGUGGCACGACAUGAAUUGAACGAUAAUGUAUUAUAUUAUGAAGACACCAUGAAGAAAAGAAAAGACAAAAAAUUUGUACAUGACCUAUGAAUAAACUCCUUACAAACAAACGCAAAAAUGUUUGAUAAUAAAAGAAGAUACGAACGAAAGUUAUUUUAUUUCAGCAUUUCAAAAAUAAACAAUACGUGUAUACAUGGAACCAAAAAAAGCACAAAAAUCUGACUGUUAAUUAUAUUAUAUAAUUGCGAAUCAAGGUUUAGUUAGCAGUCCCUUGAAGAUCCAGAUUGGCAAAUCAACGUUAUAAUGUUGAAUUGCAAAAUAAAAAGGUCUAUCAAUUUUGAAGACUAAAGUUGGAUGUGAAAGUCUGAUAUAAGAAAGAAAGAUAUAAAACCUAAAAAGGACAAAUAUUAUACAUGAAUAAAUGCUGUAAAUAUACACUGAUAUUGCCAAUACCAAUAUACACGUAUUUUUCUUGUAACAACAAAAAGUAGUGAUAUGUAUAGACCAGAGAAUGAAUGCAAACAUUAUUUGGACAAAUGUAAAAUUAAAUUCUGAAUUUACUUAACACGGAUCAUAUAUAUCAGAAGUAAUUUACACGCUAGGAAGAGAAUUUUUUAAAUUAGUCGAAAUGAUAUUGUUUUUUGCAAUUUUGUUUCAAAUGAAUAUAAAAUUUCGAUAUUAAAACAUCUGUCGUAUAAAAUAAGAAGCAACGAUUGAACUUGAUAAACUUUUGGAAAUGGUUCGAAUUUGUUUCACAUGCGCAGCAGUGCAGGAAGAUCUAGAAUAUAUAGAUUAAGGUUUGCAUUUUUACUCCAUGAAAGCAAAGCCAAGCCAUGAAACCAAGAAGUAGCGGAAUCAUCUAAUGUAUUUCUGACUUAUUCAUAAAUUUAAGAUUUAUUUAAUAAAAAAAAGGUACUUGAUGAAGAAAUAGAAAGCGAAUGCAGCUUAUUCAUAAAAGAUAAUGUCAUAAUUUGUCAUACUAAUUUGAGAACCAAUGUUUUAUAGGAUAGAAAAUUAGAAUAUUAUCAAUAAAAGUGAAGCAAGAGCUGCUAGAAAAUCAGUAAAUCCAUCUACUCGAAACAAAUGUGAGAACAAAAAUUUGAAAUGUAGAGUACUUGCAUCAUUUGUUGUUAGCAUUUAUUUCUUAAUAAUUUCACUGCUUAGAAGGUUGUUUCUAAAUCGAAACAGUUGAACUUACGAUCGUCCCUCAACAACUAAAACGUAGUAUGGAAUAUUGCUCAAAAUUAUAUUGGAAAAUUGAUUUAUCUUGGUAAAUUUUGGAACAUUCUAAUAGAUUGUUAACGCGUUAGUGAGAUGUAAUAACCGAAAAAUAUAAUUUCAACAUCAAAGGUACGAACUUAUGCAUCUUUGAAAAUGAAAAAAGAAACGAUAUAAACAAUUAUAUACAUUAUAAAUAACACAUGAUAUAAUACAUGAGUAAGUCUAAUUUGGUAAGUUUUAUACCAAUGUUUCAAAAGUGGUUUUUAAAUAUACAGAAUGUUCCACGAAAUAAAAUGUUCCAUAACGUGCGAUUGUUUUUUGGAGGUGAAGAUAAUAUCGAUUCUAUUUUUUUAAAUGGAGUCAUGUGUCUUUUGUACAGUAGUUUAUAUAUUUUUUAAAUACUGCACAUAGAUAUUGAAAUGUUUUCAUUAGAAAAAAAAAAGAAACAAAAUAUACAAAAUAUAAAGAAAACUAUAAUAAGCAGGAAUGAAGAUAUAAUAAAUAUUAUAUUACAAGCUGUUAUAACAAAGAAAAUAAUAUGUUAAUAAAGUAUGCGAUAGCGUGAUAGCAAUAUGUUGCAUUUAUCAAAUACUCGACAUUUAAAUUAAUGCAAUAAGAACAGAGUACAGCAUAGUAAAAGAAUGAAUCAAAUUUUCUGAAGACAAGACAAAAUCCUUAUGUAUUGAGUCUUGAUUGCUUUGCAUAUUAAAUUGUAAAAAUAAAUAAGGAGCAAUUUAAUGGUUAAAGGAAGCAAGUUAAAUUUAAAUAUGUUACAAGGAACUAAAUAUAAUAAAGUGAUAGAACCAUAAAGUAGAGAUGAAAAUUUUUAAUAAAAUACAAAUUAUAUUGUUAACAAUAAGUUAAAUUCAUGAUACACAUAAAAUAGGAAAGUCUUAUUUCUUCUUCCAUAUAUAUGCUUCAUAGUGUUACAUGAUCUUUUAAUGGCAUUGCGCGAUUUCCUUUGAUCAAAUAAUGUUAAUAUAAUGUAUUUUAAGAUGUGAUAUGAAUGAGGACAACUUUCUCCACGUAUAAACACUCAUCUAUUUAAAUCAGUCGAUCCAGUCAAGAAACUUGUUAUGUUAAUUGUUAAUUAUGUAAAUUGGCAGAGAUUGGCAGAACAAUCCACGAUAUGGUGUAUGCUGUUAAUCCCUAAUUUGAUGUUUAAUAACGUAAAAAAGUGGGAAAGACGUAGAGAUCCAUUAUACAGUGUAAAGUCGAUAUAUUAUCUAUUUAAUUUUCAAGGAAUGGUCGAUCGACGUGGAACUCAAUGGGCUUCGGCGGUGACCAAAUGCUCGAAAGAGGCCUUACACUGAGACCUGCCACAAGUAAUUAAUAGUGAAUUAUUCAUUUGAGCCACAAGCUCGAACUAAAUAGAGGAAGAAUUGGAUCACUACAAUGUGCUAUGUUAUUAUAUCAAAAUUAAGGUAUGCGAAAUGAUAUUAUUGGAAAACCAUUAAACUCAUAAUAUAGAAGAUUUUGCUAUAUUAGAGUGAAUGUGAAGAAAGGAAAAAGAGCGAAGAAAUUGAUAGUACGUAUAAUUCUUGACAAGAAUAGACAAGUAAUUGACUGAAAUAAAAACAUAUAACAUAAUCA